rnacentral:rRNA from 1 species
AUUGAACGCUGGCGGCAGGCCUAACGCAUGCAAGUCGAGCGGCAGCGGGACCUUCGGGUUGCCGGCGAGCGGCGGACGGGUGAGUAAUGCCUAGGAAUCUGCCUGUUAGUGGGGGAUAACGCGGGGAAACUCGCGCUAAUACCGCAUACGUCCUACGGGAGAAAGCGGGGGCUCUUCGGACCUCGCGCUAACAGAUGAGCCUAGGUCGGAUUAGCUAGUUGGUGGGGUAAUGGCCCACCAAGGCGACGAUCCGUAACUGGUCUGAGAGGAUGAUCAGUCACACUGGAACUGAGACACGGUCCAGACUCCUACGGGAGGCAGCAGUGGGGAAUAUUGGACAAUGGGCGAAAGCCUGAUCCAGCCAUGCCGCGUGUGUGAAGAAGGUCUUCGGAUUGUAAAGCACUUUAAGUCGGGAGGAAGGGCUGUAGGCUAAUACCUUGCAGUUUUGACGUUACCGACAGAAUAAGCACCGGCUAACUUCGUGCCAGCCGCCGCAGUAACAC